rnacentral:rRNA from 1 species
GUCGACAGCCAUGCCACCCUGAACAAGCCCGAUCCUGUCUGAUCUCGGAAGCUAAGCAAGGUCGGGCCUGGUUAGUACUUGGAUGGGAGACCACCUAGGAAAACCGUGUAGGCGUAAAAA